CUCCCUCCUUCAAUCAAUGAAAUUAAUCUUCCUGUGAAAAAGCAGGAAUAAAAUUAUAAGACGAAAAGACCCUAUGGAGCUUUAAACUUAUUACCACUUAUUUAGUUACAUAACAAUUUAAAUAAUAAGACUGUUCUUUAAUAGUUUUCGGUUGGGGCGACCCUGGAGAAAAAUAAAUCCUCCAGAUUGAAAAAUAACCCUUAUAUAAGAACCACAAUUCAAAUAAACAAAAAUUUGACAAAACUGACCCAGAAUAACUGAUCAGUGAACCAAGUUACCCUAGGGAUAACAGCGCUAUCCAUUUUGAGAGUCCGUAUUGACAAAUGGGUUUACGACCUCGAUGUUGGAUCGGGGUAUCCCAGCAGCGCAGCAGUUGCUAAUGGUUCGUUUGUUCAACGACUAACACCCCACGUGAUCUGAGU
rnacentral:rRNA from 1 species